rnacentral:rRNA from 1 species
CGCGUAUCGAUGAAAAACGCAGCUAGCUGCGUUAUUUACCACGAAUUGCAGACGCUUAGAGUGGUGAAAUUUUGAACGCAUAGCGCCGUUGGGUUUUCCCUUCGGCACGUCUGGUUCAGGGUUGUU